rnacentral:rRNA from 1 species
GCAUAUCAAUAAGCGGAGGAAAAGAAACCAACAGGGAUUGCCCUAGUAACGGCGAGUGAAGCGGCAACAGCUCAAAUUUGAAAUCUGGCGUCUUCGGCGUCCGAGUUGUAAUUUGCAGAGGGCGCUUUGGCAUUGGCAGCGGUCCAAGUUCCUUGGAACAGGACGUCACAGAGGGUGAGAAUCCCGUACGUGGUCGCUAGCCUUUACCGUGUAAAGCCCCUUCGACGAGUCGAGUUGUUUGGGAAUGCAGCUCUAAAUGGGAGGUAAAUUUCUUCUAAAGCUAAAUACUGGCCAGAGACCGAUAGCGCACAAGUAGAGUGAUCGAAAGAUGAAAAGCACUUUGGAAAGAGAGUUAAAAAGCACGUGAAAUUGUUGAAAGGGAAGCGCUUGCAGCCAGACUUGCCUGUAGUUGCUCAUCCGGGUUUUUACCCGGUGCACUCUUCUACGGGCAGGCCAGCAUCAGUUUGGGCGGUUGGAUAAAGGUCUCUGUCAUGUACCUCUCUUCGGGGAGAACUUAUAGGGGAGACGACAUGCAACCAGCCUGGACUGAGGUCCGCGCAUCUGCU